UCAGUGCUCUGAGAGAGUUUAUAGUGCUGUGAGUUUAACACUUCAUGACUGAGAGCAGAACAGAACACAAUCUUCAUCAUCACACAAGACACAACAACAACAAUGAACAACAUCAUCAUCCUCAUCUGGACCCUCACACUGUUUGCUCAAGAGAGUAGAGGACAGAUCACUGUAACUCAGAAUCCAUCAAUAACAGCAGCUCAACCAGGACAAGAAGUCAGAAUAAACUGUAAAACCAGCAGUAAUGUGUACAGUGAUAGUUAUGGGUCAAGGAUGGCCUGGUAUUUACAGAAACCUGGAGAAGCUCCUAAACUCCUCAUAUAUUAUAUAUCAACCCGUUUCACUGGAACUCCAUCUAGAUUCAGUGGCAGUGGAUCUAACAGUGAUUUCACUAUGACCAUCAGUGGAGUCCAGACUGAAGAUACAGGAGAUUAUUACUGUCAGAGUUUCCACUGGAUCAACAGUAAAGCUGUGUUCACACAGUGAUAAA